AGAGUUUGAUCCUGGCUCAGGAUGAACGCUAGCUACAGGCUUAACACAUGCAAGUCGAGGGGCAUCGGGAAGAAAGCUUGCUUUCUUUGCCGGCGACCGGCGCACGGGUGAGUAACACGUAUCCAACCUGCCCUUUACUCGGGGAUAGCCUUUCGAAAGAAAGAUUAAUACCCGAUGGCAUAAUGAUUCCGCAUGGUUUCAUUAUUAAAGGAUUCCGGUAAAGGAUGGGGAUGCGUUCCAUUAGGUUGUUGGUGAGGUAACGGCCCACCAAGCCUUCGAUGGAUAGGGGUUCUGAGAGGAAGGUCCCCCACAUUGGAACUGAGACACGGUCCAAACUCCUACGGGAGGCAGCAGUGAGGAAUAUUGGUCAAUGGGCGCUAGCCUGAACCAGCCAAGUAGCGUGAAGGAUGAAGGCUCUAUGGGUCGUAAACUUCUUUUAUAUAAGAAUAAAGUGCAGUAUGUAUACUGUUUUGUAUGUAUUAUAUGAAUAAGGAUCGGCUAACUCCGUGCCAGCAGCCGCGGUAAUACGGAGGAUCCGAGCGUUAUCCGGAUUUAUUGGGUUUAAAGGGAGCGUAGGUGGACUGGUAAGUCAGUUGUGAAAGUUUGCGGCUCAACCGUAAAAUUGCAGUUGAUACUGUCAGUCUUGAGUACAGUAGAGGUGGGCGGAAUUCGUGGUGUAGCGGUGAAAUGCUUAGAUAUCACGAAGAACUCCGAUUGCGAAGGCAGCUCACUGGACUGCAACUGACACUGAUGCUCGAAAGUGUGGGUAUCAAACAGGAUUAGAUACCCUGGUAGUCCACACAGUAAACGAUGAAUACUCGCUGUUUGCGAUAUACAGUAAGCGGCCAAGCGAAAGCAUUAAGUAUUCCACCUGGGGAGUACGCCGGCAACGGUGAAACUCAAAGGAAUUGACGGGGGCCCGCACAAGCGGAGGAACAUGUGGUUUAAUUCGAUGAUACGCGAGGAACCUUACCCGGGCUUAAAU
rnacentral:rRNA from 1 species